AUGAAAGCUAAGCUUACAGUCCAAAAACUUCAGCCUUUCUCCAGAAGUCACCAGCAGCACAGGUCAGUGUCGGCUGACGGGAAGUCCCGGCCUCGCUCACCUCCACUCCACCGCUCGUGCGGACGGACGGACAGACAGACAGACCCACGGCGGAGCCCAGAGGACGGUGCGGCACGUAGCGAGGCCCUCCGCUCUGGGACGGCAAACUUACACCGGCUGCGGAUUAGCCGCGUGACGACGGCCGGCGGCUGCGCUCGCAGCGCUGCUCUGGGGCUGCGUCCGCCCGAGGGACGCGCUGCGUGCCGCCCAGCCGGCGCCUCUCGGCUGUCCGAAAGCCCGUCCGGCUCCUCGCAACUUUCCACCGCGCGGCCGAACCCGCGCUUCGAAGAACCGAGGAAGAAAGCCGGCGCGGGGCACGCCGUUCGCACUUUCCCCAACUCGCUGCAGGCGGCUCGCCCCCGCCCCCGCCCCUCAUCGCCUCACGGCCGCCCGCGGCUCCGCUCCCUCACGAGGCGGCGGGAAGGGCACGGCGACCGUCGCAACACCUCCCGCAGCCGCCGGGCCGGCCGUGAAAAGAGCCCGCGCGGACAGCCGGCCGCCCCACGGCCGCAGCAGCCCGCCCGCCGCCUCCUUACCGCGCCCGUCCUCCGCCGAAGUCGCGCGGAGCCCCGCUGGCCGCCCGCUGCCGGCGCCUCGAGGCGGGCGGAGACGCGCCCGCCGGCGGCCGCCGUUGCCAUAGCGACUGCGCUAAGCGGCCCGGCCCUGAGGCGGCGCGCUCCGGCCCCGGGGCGGCGGGAAGCCUGCAGGGAGCCGCGUGUCUGCUUAAACGUGUGUGGUGAACGGCGGCGCGCGGAUCUCGGCGCUCGUGGCCGGGGCGCUCAGCUGCAGCUACGGGGUCACGGGGCUGUCCGAGCUGUGGAGGGAGCGAGCGGGGCGAGGGGCCGGGAGCCGGGCUGCGAGCCGUGGGGAAAUGGAAUCAAAGCGGAGGGAAGGGGGAAACCCCCCGGUUCCGAACAGACCAGCUGGACAGUUAGGGGUUAA
rnacentral:lncRNA from 1 species